UACGUAGGGGGCAAGCGUUGUCCGGAAUCAUUGGGCGUAAAGCGCGCGUAGGCGGCCAGACAAGUCCGGUGUAAAAGCCCCAGGCUCAACCUGGGAAUGCCGCCGGAAACUGUCUGGCUAGAGUCCGGAAGGGGCGAGUGGAAUUCCCGGUGUAGCGGUGAAAUGCGUAGAGAUCGGGAAGAACAUCGGUGGCGAAAGCGCUCUACUGGACGGUGACUGACACUCAGGGACGAAAGCUAGGGGAGCGAAUGGG
rnacentral:rRNA from 1 species